AUUUUUUUUUUUUUUUUUUUGAGAUGGUGUCUUGCUCUGUCACCCAGGCUGGAGUGCAGUGGCGCGAUCCCAGCUCACUGCAAGCUCCACCUCCCAGUUCACGCCAUUCUCUUGCCUCAGCCUCCCAAGUAGCUGGGACUAUAGGUGCCUGCCACCUCACCCAGCUAAUUAUUUUGUAUUUUUAGUGGAGACGGGGUUUCACUGUGUUAGCCAGGAUGUCUUGAUCUCCUGACCUCAUGAUCUGCCCACCUCGGCCUCCCAAGGUGCUGGGAUUACAGGCGUGAGCCACCGUGCCCAGCCUUUUUUUUUUUUUUUUUUUUUUUUUAAAAAAGAUAUAAAGCAAAGGGUCUGUGGGCCAAUGAAUAUGUGUACCAUGUCCUUUCCUCUUGGGGAUGCAUAACAAACAUCAUAAGAAGUUUGAUAUGAACGAAUUAUGUCUUAACCUAGCAUUUCCUAAAACUUGGAUGUUGAACCCUUUUCUGUGAGACACCUGUGGAACUGUUUUAUGGAAUACACUUAGGAAAGUGCCAGGAGAAGCAACAGAGAGAGUUCUUGGCAGUAUGUACUUUAUGAACACAUGGGGCAACCUUACCACUCCCCUUCCACAGCCUCCCAGGAACACCCCCCUCCUCAUGGCGAUCAUAAAGUCUGAUCCCACACUACCACCUUGUCUCCUUUGAUUUUUAUUUAAUUAUAUCAGUAAUACGUGUUCAAAGAAAAUACUGAUAAGGUAAAGAAUAUUAAUUCUGCAAAUUCACCAACCAGAGUUAAUGCCUCUUAACAUUAACAUUUGGGCCAGGUGCGGUGGCUCACACAUGUAAUCCCAGCACUUUGGGAGGCUGAGUUAGGCCAAUGACUUGAGGUCAGGAGUUCAAGACCAGCCUGACCAACAUGGUGACACUCCAUAUGUACUAGAAAUGCAAAAAUUAGCUGAGUGUGGUGGUGGGUGCCUGUAAUCCCAGCUAUUGGGGAGGUUGAGGCAGGAGAAUCACUUCAGCCCAGGAGGCGGAGGUUGCAGUGAGCAGAGAGCAUACCACUGCACUCCAGCCUGAGACUCCAUCUCAAAAAAAAAAAAAAGAAAAGGGUGUAUAUAUCCUGGCCUUCCCCCUUCAUGGGUGUGUGAAUACAUACACAGGCUUGUGUUUGUUUUUUUUUUGUUUUUUAAUAAACAUUUUCAAGGUUUGUCCAAAAGAAGGCCAUAUAGGUUCUUGGCUAGCGGAAGACAAUUCAGAACAGCUGUUGCACACUUGCACUGUCACCUUCUCCAGGCUGGCAGUUGAUAUCUUAUUUUUUUUUCCAACUCAUUUUUAUUAA
rnacentral:lncRNA from 1 species